AUGCAGAAUGUCAACAUAACCCUGCGCAUCCUCUUCCGGCCCGUCGCCAGCCAGUUGCCCCACAUCUUCACCAGCAUCGGUGAGGAUUAUGAUGAGCGCGUGCUGCCGUCCAUCACCACUGAGAUCCUCAAGUCCGUGGUGGCUCGCUUCGAUGCCGGUGAGCUGAUCACCCAGAGAGAGCUGGUCUCCAGGCAGGUGAGCGACGACCUCACGGAGCGGGCAGCCACCUUCAGCCACAUCCUGGAUGAUGUAUCCCUGACGCAUCUGACCUUCGGCAAGGAGUUCACAGAAGCCGUGGAAGCCAAACAGGUGGCUCAGCAGGAAGCGGAGAGGGCCAGAUUUGUGGUGGAAAAGGCCGAGCGGCAGAAGAAGGCGGCCAUCAUCUCUGCAGAAGGCGACUCCAAGGCAGCCGAGCUAAUCGCCAACUCACUGGCCACUGCGGGCGACGGCCUGAUCGAGCUGCGCAAGCUGGAAGCCGCCGAGGACAUCGCGCACCAGCUGUCCCGCUCACGCAACAUCACCUACCUGCCGGCGGGUCAGUCGGUGCUCCUGCAGCUGCCGCAGUGAGCCGGCCCCGCACCCCGAAGAAACGCAGGCACGCACGGCGCCUUCUUCCGUCCCCCCAGAAAUGAAUCACUGUGACAUUUCAUGAUUGAGCUAGAGUGACAGAAAUAAAAGCAAAAUCACUUCCACCCUCCGA